CUUCCUUAGAUGCAGAUGUUGUCUUGUGUUUACUACAUUUAUCCAUCAGGUGUUGAGCAGAAAAAGACCUGCCCUUAUGCUGAGACCUUCAAAUGAGCCCAGCCUGCUUGCGACGCAGCCUGCUGAGAUUCAUCUUGUGAGAACCAGGAGGAAGGCCUUUUCCACAGCAUUGCCCACUUUGUGGAAUCACCCCCACUCCAAAAAAAGAGAAAUAGUUUUUUUCCUGUAGGUUCUGCUCCCAGGAAGUAUACCUCCCCUGUUAUAUCAUCUUCUUUCAUCAUACACAGAAGAGAAUGUAUAUGUGAAUUCCAGAAGUGCACUAUGGAGGUGUCUGAUUGCCC